AAUUAAUAUAAAGUCAAUCCUAUAAAAAGAUUGAUGUCUAUCAGAGAAAAAAGUAAAAUCCUUCUCUUCCGUAUUACAUUCACGCCAAACAUCUCUUUAAUUCCAAAUCUUCCCUCGUAUCAAAGAAAGUCUUUGGCAAUUUUGCACGACUUGAAAUAUGCUGUAAACCUUUUUUAUCUUUCUGUGUAUCCAACACUCCAUUCCAAUCAUCCAUUAAUAUAUAUGAUUUAUAAUCCCAUUGUACUAUUUUAUUAUGUAAAAUUUUUUAAAAAAAUUCUUGUUGAUUAGGAGCAUAAACUCCAAUUAAAAGUGUCUUUUUCCCUUCCAAUAACAGUUCAAUUGCAGUAUAUCUUCCUUGUUUAUCUGUCUCGAUUAACUUCGCUAUUAAGUCCUUCUUUACAUAAACAACAAUGCCAUUCUUUUUCUCUGAAGCCGAAGCAACGAAAUGUGUACCCAACCUUGAGUUAAUCAAAUAUUUUUGGUCCAAAGAUCUAAUAUGUGUUUUUUGUAAACAAACUAUAUCAUUUUUAAAUUGUUUCAAAUAAUGAAAUAUCUUCCUCCUUUUCUGUGGUGAAUUUAAACAAUUAGCAUUCCAGGAUAAAAAGCUAGUUGCCAUUUUUGGCAGUCGGAAGCUGGAAUGCCCAAUGUAGCUCCGCUUUUUCUUUGGGUCUUGCUCCUCCCACAGCUUCUGUUUUAGUAGCCUCUGCCACUUGAAUUUGUUGGAGCUUAACUUCCUGUUCCUUGCGUUUAGUAGCUGCUCUCAUCAUCCUUUGUUCUUUUACUCCUUCUUUUGGUACUUCUCCCCCUUUAGAUAUAUCCAACACUUGUAAAGAAUCUUCCUCCAUAGCUAUAACUGCCGCUUGGUCUUGUGCCUGCUUCAUUGCUUCCCUUUUUCUUAUUUCUUCAACAUCCCUUCUUCUAGGUUCUGGUGAUGAUGGGCUUCCAGCUUUCAAUACAUUAACAUAAAAAUCUCUUGCUUUCCAAAUUGUAUUAAGACGAUGUGGUUUCCCUGCAUAAUACACAAUUAUCCCCACUGGGAUAUCCCAUCUAUAUUCAGUCUGCCUUUUUUUGAGCUCCUCCACCAGAAAUGCAUAUUCUUUUCUGCUUCUCAACAUUUUAGGGGGAAUUUCUUUCAAAAUUAAAAUUUCUUGUCCAGCUACCUGAACUUCCCCCCUUUAUAAGAUCCUUGCAGAAUUGCAUUUCUCAUUCUUCGAGUUGUAAAGUAAAUAACCACAUCUCUUGGCAACUGCUUUUGUCUGGCAAUCCAAGAAUUCACACGGUAAAUUUUGUCAAUAUGGUAUGCCACUUCAUCUGGUUGCACUCCUAUUAUCUCUGCAAAUGCUUCAGAAAAAAUUCUUUCAAAUAUCCCUUCUUAUUUUCCUGUAAGCCUCUAAUUCUUAAAGCAAAUUCCAUGCCCUAUAUUGGACCAAUACAAUUUCAUCAUCUGUUUUUUCCACUUUAGCCUGAACCUCUUCCAUCUUAUUUUCCAGUUUUAAAUUAGAUUGCUUUAUUUCCUCUACAUUUUCUUCUAACAGAUUCAAAUUGAUUGCCAAGCCUUGAACUGCUAGUACAAGACUAUCUCUAAUCUCUUUAUUCCCUUCUUGAAUUUCUAACAUCUGUUCUGUCAUCUAUUUCAGUUUCUCUUCAAUAAGAGAAGUUUGUAAAUUUAUAGAGUCCUUUACGAAAUCUUUCAGGUUCUCCUGUAGUACUUCUAAAUUUAAUGCUUUUGUAUCAGCAGUAUGGGCUGGAGAAACUCCUGCACUCCUAGAGGUUGUUAAUUUUGUUUAUUUGGCUGCCAUCUUUUAAACUUUCGUUUCACUUUAAUCCAAAUUGACAAAAGAUCUUUUGUAUUUUCAAAGAAUACAGUCUUAAAGUCUCUUCCUUUUAUCCUUUUAUAGUUUAAUGACUUCUAACAGCCUCUGGCAGCACUCUACCCAGCGCGAAAGGAAUUUUCACACUUUCGUUUCCCAGUUAUUAAGUCUUUAAGUUAAUGGCGCCUUUAUCGGUUUUGCCUUCAAGUUGCAACAAAACCACAGGGAGUUAAGAAAAUUGUUACUUGCAUUUCCAGACCUCCUGCUUCCGUUCUGUUCUGUAUAAAAUAAGUUUAUAAUCCAAUAUAGGUCCCGGAGCUUGGUCGUGAUGAUUAUUUCUGCAAAUGCAGCAGAGCCCUGGAUUCAGAGUGCUUUGGGCUAAUAGGGAGCUUAACCAUUCAAACCCCCGAAAUCAUUUCAGGGGUUUUAGGAAAGCUCUACCUUCACCCAUCUGCUCACCUUCCCCUCUUCUCCCGAGGGGGAGAUUUUCCGAAUCGCUAGGCUGCUGAUUUACGCUGCCUUAGCGAUUCUAACGUAAUCCAAAGGCUGGCGGUCUAAAACACCGUCGCCAUCACCAACAGAGCCAAACGGCAUCUCCAUCUCACCACAUUUUUUUAUGGGAGACACACUCAUUGUCUGACUCUUCCUAUAGUCCAGUAUGGUUUAACCUCUGGCAAAGCUUUAAUUUCCUUAGAGCACACAAGCCCCAUCAAGGUCACUGAGGAUAUUAUUAUCUCUUUUAUUCAUUAAGCAUGAAACUCAGUCAACUGAUCAUUUAAAAAUAUUCCAAAAUACCAUUAACUGAUGCUAAUGGUUGAUAUGGGUUUCUGUCAGUAUCCUAGAUAUCAACCAUCUUCUUAAAAUAUAUGAUGUUCCGAAUAGCACAGUUUUUUGCAGUUCCACUGGAAGCUGCAAUUUCUUGAUGUGUUUUAUAAAAUUCUUGGACAUGGUACCAAGUGCCCCGAUGACAAUGGGUAUCACUGUUACAUGUUUCAUCCAUAGCCGUGUAGUUUCGAUGGCCAGGUCGCGAUAUUUCAUGAUUUUUUCCAAUUCUUUUUCUUCAACUCUGGUGUCUCCUGGUACAGCAAUAUCAAUAAACUGUACAUUUUGGCCCUCGACAACUGCGCUAUCUGGCAUGUUGUGUUCCAAAUGACGAUCUGUCUGUAUUCGAAAGUCCCACAAGAUCUUCACCGUCUCAUUUUUGGUAACUUUUUCUACUUUGUGCUCCCAUGACUUUUUGGAUACAGCUUGUGACUGACCAAAAAUGGCUGUCGUCCCUGCUGCUGUUCAGGAGAGCUUUCUUUGGAUCAACAAGGAAAUUGCGAUUUCCUCGCAAUCAACAAAGCGCCUCUCCUUUCUUCACCACCCCUCCAGGGCAGCUUAACCCCAUAGGGUCUCCCAGGAAGCAGUUGCCUGCUGCAUUUCACAGACCCCAGCAGAGCUCCACUAUUUUCCAAUCAUUUGGGGUGCAACAUCAACUGGAAGUCGCAGUAUUCUUGUUAAAAGUUUGAACAUUGUUGGUGAUGGAGGAUGGUUAAGUGUUUUAACCAGUAUCCAUAAAGUUUGUCCAGGCCAGGUGCACUCCAGUUCUUGACUUUUUUUAUUUGUUUUGCAACCAUACCAGUUGUUAUUACAGUAUUCUCCAUUUUGUUUCGUGUUGCUUGUUUUUGAGUAUCUUUGAUCCAGGAGGCAGUUUUGUUAUAUUCCACUGGGUUUUCCCACAGUUCUUUCCAAAAGGUCAACGUUUUUUCUUUACAUGAGUGAACAUUAGUUUAGAUUCCAUUUUCAUCAAGUGACCAGUAGAAGAGGUGUUGGUUUCUUGUGAACAGGACAUUUUCAUGAUACUGAGUUUUUUUUAUGUAAGUUUUUUAUUUUAUUUUACAUAUACUUUAUUUUACAUAUAAUGCGUGAACAGUGUGGCACCUUGGUGUCAUACAUUCUAAUACAAAUAAAACUAGAAGAAUUCAUAGUUAUUACAUUCAACCAACUUAUAUAUUUCUAAUAAUAAUACACAUUUAUAUUAAGCUAUAGUUUAUCAUUAUUUAAUUAUUCCAUGUUUUUAUAUAUUGAUCUAAUGCCACUCACCAUAUUAUUUGAUGAUACCAUAAUACUGCCAUUCAAUUUCUAAGCUUCCUUGUUGUUAUUGCUUUUAUUUUAUUAUGUAAAAAUGUAUACACUAAUAUUCCCCCUUUCUCAUAUUUCUAUCUUUUUUUUUUUAAUUUUAUUUUUAUUACGGUUUUCUUUUUUCAUAACAAUCAUACAUAUUCAACAGAACUGUGACAUUAUUGUAUAUUUCGGAUCUACCUUCCAUAUAAUUUCUAUAUACAUUAUAUACAUAUAAUCAUCAAUGGCCUUAUAUAUAUUUUGUUUUCUAUUUCUAUUGGUUGUCCAUGUGUACCAAUAUUCCCAGACCGCAUAGUAUUCUGAAUCUUCUUUUUCUUGUAAUUCUAUCCAUAGGCUUGUAAGCCUAUCCAUUUCUGCGCAAUCAUAUACUUUUUGGAUAAUCAGACUCUCUGGUGUAUGUUACUGAGUUUCCAAUGUUGUGCGAACGCAAUCCUUGCUGCUGUUAGAAUGUGCAAAAUCAAAUAUCUUGUUUUUUUAAAUCAAGUUUUGUCUUAAACAU